AAUAAAAUGCCUGAAUUAAAAGGAUUACUUCGAUAAAGUAAAAUAUAUAAUUUUUUUUAU
rnacentral:tRNA from 1 species